CAGCUAGUUAGUUAGUUACGAUUUAGUUCAGUGGUUCGCUGUUGUGAGCGUGGUAAUGAACAUGGGUCGUGUUCACGGCGGGGGAUUUCUUGACCAGUUGAGCAACAAACAGAUUCCCGAGAUGGCCUGUGUUCUGUGGAGUUCUUUAAGGUUUUUGAAAAAUUUAAAAGUGUUUGGGACGCCGUGGUGGGCUACGCAUGUAGUUUGGUUCGGAAGUAUAUGCUCCAUUUGAGAUAUUUUUGUGUGAGGACUGAAAAAAACCAUGAGAAAACUUUGGAAUACAUCACUUUGGAGAGGUCUUGCUCUUUGUCCACUUGAAAAGCCGAGAACCUGAAGCCGCAGUCAUGUGAUCGAACCGGUUCACGAUCUGCGUUUGGUAUGAGCAAUGACGAACUUUGAGUUCUACUGCUGUGAGAUCAGUAAUUUAUUUUUGGAACGGCGGCCCUGAGAUCAGAAUAGAGCCACAAAUAAUUUUGCUUUUGUAUUCGCGUUAAAUAUUCAUGAAACGUGACGAGAGCAGACCAAAGGGGCCGUGAUAAUUUGAUGUCUGCCAAACUGUUGAAAGGAAAAUGCUCUCAGGUUAUUUGACGAGCGGUGUUCCUGUUUUCGUUGCGUGUUUAAGGCAUCUGGUUCCUAACAGGACCGUAUGUAUAAUUUAAACAAUAUAACGAAGGGCCGUUUGUUGUGUGUAAGUUUGGUCCAUCUCUCAGCGGGUGAUUCAGACGUGCUCCUAUGGAGAUGAUCAUAAAUUUAUUCAUGAAGAUGGUUGGAAUAAAGAUAAGAAAGACCUAAGGGAAGGCGGAGAUAAAUGGGAAGAGAGAUACGAAGGAGUGAACAGAACUUUGUGCAUCAGAUGUUGACCGCCUUGAACCGACUGUCAAUGCCAAUUACAGUGGGCGCAAAGUAUCUGCGAGCUUAAAAGGGUGAAGAGAUGAAGGAUCGGCGAAGGGGGAGCAAUACGACGAAGAGUUCGUCUGAGCAUGUACAAUGUAUAAUAUUAAAAUAAGUGAAACGGAUUAA